UGCAAUUUAUGAUGCAACAACUGCAUUUCACAGGUGGGCAUUUUUAUUAUAAAAGCGCGGUAAGGUGAUUCAAUCACUCUUAUCGAUCGUGAUCUCUGAACAGAGUAGAAGUGCGCGCGUGUGUAGUGCUAGUAUUGUGAAGGUCUUAAAGCUAUUGUUAGUAAAAUGGAAAGAAUAGAAAAGUUUUAGUAAACAUGCAUAAUACAAAAAUUAGUACGCUAAAACGCAAAAGUUACUGUCCUUAAACUAAGUGACAAACAACAAAUAAUUUGAAGACAAACAAACAAGAAAAAGGUCCGGAAAGUGGACCUUUUUCUUCCGACCUUUCUUCUAUUUUC